AAUGAACGCUGGCGGCGUGCCUAACACAUGCAAGUCGAAUGUGCCGCAAGGUGCAUGGCAGACGGGUGAGUAACGCGUGGGCAAUCUACCUUUUCGUGGGGAAUAACGAUCCGAAAGGAUUGGUAAUACCGCAUGAGACCAAUGGCUGGGAUGCUGUUGGUGAAACCUGGGGACCGCAAGGCCUGGGGCGAAAAGAGGAGCCUGCGUCUGAUUAGCUAGUUGGCGGGUAACGGCCCACCAAGGCUUCGAUCAGUAGCCGGCCUGAGAGGGUGAUCGGCCACACUGGAACUGAGACACGGUCCAGACUCCUACGGGAGGCAGCAGUGGGGAAUUUUGCGCAAUGGACGAAAGUCUGACGCAGCAACGCCGCGUGGGUGAUGAAGGUCUUCGGAUUGUAAAACCCUGUCGUCGAGGACGAAGGUCGGAGUGUUAAUAGCGCUUUGGCUUGACGGUACUCGGAGAGGAAGCCCCGGGCUAACUCUGUGCCAGCAGCCGC
rnacentral:rRNA from 1 species